UAGAGUUUGAUCCUGGCUCAGAUUGAACGCUGGCGGCAGGCCUAACACAUGCAAGUCGAGCGGUAGCGGGAAGAGCUUGCUCUUUGCCGACGAGCGGCGGACGGGUGCGUAACACGUAGGAAUCUGCCUGGUAGUGGGGGAUAGCCCGGAGAAAUCCGGAUUAAUACCGCAUACGCCCUACGGGGGAAAGCAGGGGAUCUUCGGACCUUGCGCUAUCAGAUGAGCCUGCGUCGGAUUAGCUUGUUGGUGGGGUAAAGGCCUACCAAGGCGACGAUCCGUAGCUGGUCUGAGAGGAUGAUCAGCCACACUGGGACUGAGACACGGCCCAGACUCCUACGGGAGGCAGCAGUGGGGAAUAUUGCACAAUGGGCGAAAGCCUGAUGCAGCCAUGCCGCGUGUGUGAAGAAGGCCCUAGGGUUGUAAAGCACUUUCAGUGGGGAGGAAAGGUCGAAGGUUAAUACCCUUUGGCUGUGACGUUACCCACAGAAGAAGCACCGGCUAACUCCGUGCCAGCAGCCGCGGUAAUACGGAGGGUGCGAGCGUUAAUCGGAAUUACUGGGCGUAAAGCGUGCGUAGGCGGCUACCUAAGUUGGAUGUGAAAGCCCCGGGCUCAACCUGGGAACUGCAUCCAAAACUGGGUGGCUAGAGUACGGGAGAGGAGUGUGGAAUUUCCUGUGUAGCGGUGAAAUGCGUAGAUAUAGGAAGGAACACCAGUGGCGAAAGCGACACUCUGGCCUGAUACUGACGCUGAGGUACGAAAGCGUGGGGAGCAAACAGGAUUAGAUACCCUGGUAGUCCACGCCGUAAACGAUGUCUACUAGUUGUCGGUUGUCUUGUACGACUGGUAACGCAGCUAACGCGAUAAGUAGACCGCCUGGGGAGUACGGCCGCAAGGUUAAAACUCAAAUGAAUUGACGGGGGCCCGCACAAGCGGUGGAGCAUGUGGUUUAAUUCGAA
rnacentral:rRNA from 1 species